AAACAUUAUAUUUCAAUAGUUUUCCUUUCUUUACAGAAAUUCGAACUACCAAUCAAGAAGUUUGGAGCUUAAUAUGAUUUUGUUUAAUAUGCUAUUCUAAUAUGCGCAAGAACACGAAAUUUUGUCUAGAAAUUUUGUUAAACAUUUCUAUUUAUUUCUUAAGAAGGUGCAAGGAAGUUUCCUCAAAUAACAACAAUUGUAUGGUCAAGGGCACAAGGCGCAUUCUAGGUGCUAAAAUUCUUUGAUUUCUUGAGGUGCGAGGGCCAAAAAAUUUAAAAAAAGAGCUUGCCUAAGUGCUGUAAGGCAUAUGAUAUCUAUGCCUAUCCAUUUAUACUCCCAUGUCUUUCUUGCCUGUUCAUUUAUUUCUGCAUGCUUGUUAUUAAGUUGAUCUUGCUUGGUUUUUUUAUUAUAGUACAAAAUGUUUAAUUACAAAAUGUUUUUUUUAUUAUAGUACAUCUAUUUCAUUUAACCAAACACAAUCAUACUAUUAUAGUUCUAUUCUAUUUCAUUUAAUCAAACAAUAAAAUUAUUAAUUACAGCUUUAUUGCACUACAAUUCUAUCCCACUAUAUUAAACCAAGCAUACAUUUAGUUAUUUUAAUCUCCUGUCCGAUAUUUUUUCAAAAAAUAAAAUAAAAUUCAAACCGUUUUCAAAAUAAAUAAUAUAAAAACUCUUUCUUCAUUCAUCUCUCUCACGUUCGGUUCUUCCUUUAUUCUCUACCCUUUCCCCUUUUUUCUACUAUUUUUCUCUCUCUUCCUCCUUUAUUGUCCUUUCUAACAAACCGCUGCCGCUGCCUCCACACACUUUCCAGCGUCUUACCUCCGAUCAGGCCAGCUUCCUUCCCAUCAUUCGAAAUUUAAAUCCUCAAAUAUAUCUACCCAAUCCAUUGCUCCCCAUUUCUUCGGCGAUUCUCUCUCUCUCGGUCUCUUUUCAAAGUUUUCCUGUCAUUCUUUUUUAGCUUUGGGUAUCCACAGGCCCAAAAAACACGCUAUAGUAGGAAGAGAGUUUUCGUGAGAGAGUAACCCUAAUUUUUCUCUGGCGUUUCUAGUUUUUGUGAUUUUUGAAAUUCGCUGCUUCAACGAAGACUCAUUUCAGAUGGAAGAACUCAAAUCAAACCUAGUUCUUCUUUACUAAAAAAAUGUUGAUAAGAAGAUUAAAAACCCUGCUUAAACCCUUGUCUGAUCCUCACCUCCGUCUCAUAGCCACCGAGUCAACUCAAAAUCAACUCAGCAACCCAGCUAACUGUCUCAACCCCAUAACUCCAAUCAACCAACUGACUCUUCUGAAAGUCUGUACCAUCCUCUACCAACAGCAAAACUCAUCUGACUCACGCCUCCACUCAUCCCUCUCUUCUUACAAUCCUUCUUUCAACCCUGAAUUCUUCCUUCAAGUUUGCAACACUUUCCCAUACUCCUGGCGCCCCGUCUACCGAUUCUUCCUCUACACCCAAAAUGUCCCUCACUUCACUCACAACUCCGUCACCUUCAACAAAAUGUUGGAUGUCGUUGGAAAAUCCAAAAACAUUGACCUUUUUUGGGAAACUUGUCAGGAGAUGGGAAAACUUGGUUUGGUCAAUGAUAAGACAUUUAGGAUAGCUUUAAAGACCCUAGCAUUAGCUAGGGAGUUGAAGAAAUGUGUGGGUUUUUUCCAUUUGAUGAAUGGGUUUGGGGUUGGAUACAAGUCGGAGACUUUUAAUACAGUGGUGGAAAGUUUAUGCAAGGAUAAGCUUGUGGAAGAGGCAAAGUUUGUUACUUUCAAGUUGAAAGAGUGUGUUGAGCCAAAUGGGGUUACUUAUAAGUGGUUGAUAUGGGGGUUUUGUGAUUUGGGUAAUUUGAUUGAGGCCUCAAAAAUUUGGAAUCUGAUGGUGGAUGAAGGGUUUGAGCCUGAUGUUGAGGUUGUGGAGACAAUGAUGGAGGCACUUUUUAAGACUAAUAAAUAUGAUGAAGCAAUGAAGGUUUUCCAAAUGAUGAGAGUUAAGAGAAUGCAUGAUUUGGAGCUUUCAAGUUAUAGGCUUGUGAUCAAGUGGAUGUGUAAGAGAGGCAAGAUCGAGCAAGCCAAUGGGAUGUUUGAAGAAAUGUGCCAAAGAGGGAUCCAAGCUGAUAAUUUGACCUUGGCUUCGAUUAUUUACGGGCUUUUAGCAAGAGGGAGGAUUAGAGAGGCUUAUAGGAUUGUGGAAGGAAUUGAGAAUCCGGAUAUCAGCAUUUACCAUGGACUAAUAAAGGGGCUUUUGAGGUUGAGGAAGGCAGGGGAGGCAACACAAGUGUUUAGAGAGAUGAUAAAGAGAGGGUGUGAGCCUAUAAUGCAUACAUAUAUCAUGUUACUGCAAGGUCAUUUGGGGAAGAAAGGGAGGAAAGGACAUGAUCCAUUGGUGAAUUUUGACUCAAUAUUUGUUGGGGGCUUGAUUAAGGCUGGAAAGACAGUAGAGGCUACCAAGUAUGUGGAGAGAACAAUGAAAAGAGGAAUGGAAGUGCCUAGAUUUGAUUACAAUAAAUUUUUACAUUACUACUCAAAUGAGGAAGGUGUAAUGAUGUUUGAGGAGGUUGGCAAGAAAUUAAGGGAAGUGGGGUUAUUUGAUUUGGCUGAUAUAUUGGAGAGAUAUGGCCAGAAAAUGGCAACUAGGGAUAGGAGGAGAGAGAGGGCAGUCGAUCCAUGAGAAGAACCUUGAAAAACUGAAAAGUUGUAGCCGAAAUACAUACCUUUUGGUUGAAGUUGCUAAUUAUAUUGAAACCCAAUUAUGGUACAAGACUACAACAUAUUGUCCUUGUGUAUGUUGGACCUGCAAGAGUCAUCAAACUUUGAAGCAAAGACUUAGUAGAGGUGUAUCACAUUUCCCCUUUGCUAUAUCACUAAGACUAUGCUUUCCAACUUUCGGUGGGGCUCCUGGUAUCUCUUUUCAAGCUUUGGCUACAACCAAUCUUGCACCUUGUUCAGUAGCCAAAUAUCGGACCUCUUGAGGCUCCAGACUCUAUGCUGUCGGCAACGGAAGAGGAAAAGUUAACACUAUACUAUAAGCUCUCAGCCAUAUGAUGUUAUGCUUCCCACCAAAAACCAACUAGCAAUAGGUGGACGGUCUUGAAGUUUCAGAUAAGACCACUGGAAAUCCAACUUAAUCCAUUUAGACUACACCACACAAUAGAUGCCAAUGCAUGGUUGUAAGGGACAAGCAACACGGAUGAUGGACCCUUCAAGGACUCCAGGAUUGGCCCGAAAGAAGAAUUCAAAGACACUAUAUUGUGAUUUUCUCUACUGUUUCUGUUUUUGGGAUUUUUGGAAUCCCUUGCUUCAUCAG